UACGUAGGGUGCUAGCGUUGUCCGGAUUUAUUGGGCGUAAAGAGCGUGUAGGCGGCCAGGUAGGUCUGCUGUGAAAACUCGAGGCUCAACCUCGAGAUGUCGGCGGAAACCAUCUGGCUAGAGUCCGGAAGAGGAAAGUGGAAUUCCUGGUGUAGCGGUGAAAUGCGCAGAUAUCAGGAAGAACACCCGUGGCGAAGGCGGCUUUCUGGGACGGUACUGACGCUGAGACGCGAAAGCGUGGGGAGCGAACAGG
rnacentral:rRNA from 1 species